GUGGGGAAUCUUGCGCAAUGGGCGAAAGCCUGACGCAGCCAUGCCGCGUGAAUGAUGAAGGUCUUAGGAUUGUAAAAUUCUUUCACAGGGGACGAUAAUGACGGUACCCGGAGAAGAAGCUCCGGCUAACUUCGUGCCAGCAGCCGCGGUAAUACGAAGGGGGCUAGCGUUGCUCGGAAUUACUGGGCGUAAAGGGCGCGUAGGCGGACAGCUCAGUCAGAGGUGAAAGCCCAGGGCUCAACCUUGGAAUUGCCUUUGAUACUGGCUGUCUGGAGUUUGGGAGAGUUGAGUGGAACUCCGAGUGUAGAGGUGAAAUUCGUAGAUAUUCGGAAGAACACCAGUGGCGAAGGCGACUCACUGGCCCAAUACUGACGCUGAGGCGCGAAAGCGUGGGGAGCAAACAGGAUUAGAAACCCUUGUAGUCC
rnacentral:rRNA from 1 species